rnacentral:miRNA from 1 species
UCAUCAAAGUGACUGUGAUGUG